ACCCGAGUCUCCGCGCACCGCGCUGCUCCGUGGGACGAGCGCCCCCGGUUGCCUGUGUCUCGAGGUGCGGGGGCAGCUCGCGGCCCAGAGAGCCCCCCACGGAUGCGGGGGGGGGCACGCCGGCCACGCCUGGUCUCCAAGCCCGCCCCCAGGCUCCAAAGUAAAACCCGAGACCAGGAGCUGGGCCGGAGACUCCCCGCAAACUCCCAAGUCCCGCCUGGCAGGAUCCUGCGCUGAGCUCCAAGGGGCCGCCCCGGGGCCCCAGCGUGCGCCCCCUGACCUCUGUGCACCGGCUCCGCCCUGCAGGCUGCGUGACCUCGGGGAACCCCUCACCAUCUCAGGGUUCUCCACGAGAUGGCUCUGAAUCUGGAGGGACGGGUUACUGAGGGCCAGUGCCAGGCUCUGUGCCCCACCGGCUGCCCUCACCAAGCUCACAGCGGCAGGGCACACCUGGUGGGUGCCAAGGGUUCCAGCAGGUCAGCACAGGCCUCCCAGCUCUCAUCAUUGCCUCUGGCCUCACUGUUGGGCUACACGGCCUCCUGGGCUCCCCCAGGUUUGUCCUUCUGGGCAGGUGCUGCUGGCAGGAGCUGACCGGGUCCCCCCCGUCCUGACCCACAAGGAGGAAAUGCAAGGAUGGGGACAGCGGGUUGAACACUUAAUGAGGCUCCCUGCCACGUGGUGCGGGCCUAGGCCUUGCGGGACAUGCUGGAGCGCAGGGCCCCCGUGUAGUUACCCCCAAACCAGGGCACGCCUAAGGCCCCUGUGUACUCCAGCCACCGCCCGUGGCCUGUUGAGAGCAGCCUGGACGCAGUCACUGUACCACCAGCCAGGGCUGGAGUGAUGGCAGCUGCCAGCCGGCAGCCACCCCCAGCCCCAGCGUCCGCCCUGCGUUCCUGGUGGGCAUCAAAGCUGUGGCCUCAGGGCUCUGGCUGGUUUGGCUCAGUAGUUAGAGGGUCGGACCGAAGGGUCACGGGUUCCAUUCCCGGAGGUC